rnacentral:rRNA from 1 species
AUGUCUUGCGUCCCGCACUCGCUCAUGUCAAUCCCGCCUCUGGAGCCCACCAGUGCCCUCGAGCCUCCUCCUCUCUUUAGCCAUCCCAUGGCAUCUGUCGUGCACCCACCAAGACAGUUGGCGCCCAUCGUGGGGCAGCUCGAGGAGCUGGUCAGGAACAUGCUUCAAACGGUGCUCUUCUCCUACUCCGACGAGUCCGUCAUGCUGGCAGACGACGUCGUUGACGCACUCGCCGCCUCCUUCGCCGCGCUGCGCAUCUUUGAUGCGCCCACGGCCGACGAGUACCCCAGCGAGGUACUCAACUACUCCGACUCCCCCCUCUCCCUCGGCGGUGGCAUUUCCGCCGGGGCAAUGGAUGUCCAUGUGGAGGUCUUCAUCACCGGCGACGGCGCCUCCUCCUCAUCGAGAAAGACGAGGAAGGCAGCCGAAGCCAGAUGGGCCGCUGUGGAACGGACCGAGCCAUCCGAUCCGUUGCGCACCAUGAUGCAGAGCCUCUGCGUCCCCAUCGGCACCGACGUCGACGCAACCAACAUCGCUGAGGCCCGAGCCCAGCUCGAGGAAAGGCGCCAGCCGAUGCUGGACCUGUCCGAGAUGCUCGCUGCCACCCAGCGUCGCCUGGAUUCCGCUCAGCUGGAGCGCAACGCUGCCUACGGAUUCACGCCCGCCGCGGCCGAGCCGAGCCGGGUCGCCGACGUGCGCGUCCGGGGAGGAGCAAUCUGUUGGGGAACGUAG